rnacentral:rRNA from 1 species
CCUACGGGAGGCUGCAGUGAGGAAUAUUGGUCAAUGGACGAGAGUCUGAACCAGCCCAGUAGCGUGAAGGAUGACUGCCCUAUGGGUUGUAAACUUCUUUUAUAUGGGAAUAAAACAGGGUAUGCAUACCCUCUUGUAUGUACCAUAUGAAUAAGGAUCGGCUAACUCCGUGCCAGCAGCCGCGGUAAUACGGAGGAUCCGAGCGUUAUCCGGAUUUAUUGGGUUUAAAGGGAGCGUAGGUGGAUUGUUAAGUCAGUUGUGAAAGUUUGCGGCUCAACCGUAAAAUUGCAGUUGAAACUGGCAGUCGUGAGUACAGUAGAGGUGAGCGGAAUUCGUGGUGUAGCGGUGAAAUGCUUAGAUAUCACGAAGAACUCCGAGUGCGAAGGCAGCUCACUGGACUGCAACUGACACUGAUGCUCGAAAGUGUGGGUAUCAAACAGGAUUAGAUACCCGGGUAGUC